CGCGGCCUAUCAGCUUGUUGGUGAGGUAACGGCUCACCAAGGCAUUGACGGGUAGCUAGUGUGAGAGGACGAAUAGCCACACCGGGACUGAGACACGCCCCAGACUCAUACGGGAGGCAGCAGCAGGGAAUCUUGCACAAUGGAAGAAAGUGUGAUGCAGCGACGCCGCGUGGGGGAUGAAGGCCAUAGGGUCGUAAACCCCUUUCAGUGGGGAUGAAACUGACGGUACCCACAGAAGAAGGUCCGGCCAAGUACGUGCCAGCACCCGCGGUAAGACGUAGGGACCGAGCGUUGUCCGGAAUUACUGGGGGUAGAGAGCUCGUAGGCGGUUGCGUAAGUCGGAUGUGAAAGCUCGGGGCUCAACCCCGAGACGCCAUCCGAUAAUGCGCUGACUUGAAUCCAGUAGGGGAGUGUGGAAUUCCUGGUGUAGCGGUGAAAUGCGCAGAUAUCAGGAGGAACACCUAUGGCGAAGGCAGCACUCUGGGCUGGUAUUGACGCUGAGGAGCGAAAGCAUGGGUAGCAAACAGGAUUAGAUACCCUGGUAGUCCAUGCCGUAAACGUUGGGCCCUAGGUGUGGGGGACAUUCCACGUUUUCCGCGCCGUAGCUAACGCAUUAAGUGCCCCGCCUGGGGAGUACGG
rnacentral:rRNA from 1 species